CUUGAAGAUUCCCUGAAGCAUUGGGAAGCAGAACCCCUCUGUUCUGCCUGGGUGCAUUCACUUCCAGGAUACAGAGCCAUGCUUCUCAGCUCUCAUUCUGAUACUCUGACAUUCAGGAUCUUUGCUGCAAAAAGGGCUCGGCUUCCAUAAAGAAGUCAGGGAGUGCUCUUUCUGGCCCAAAUAAGUUUAACUAUCCUGAAGGAUAGGUGGCAGCUCAGUAUGGAGUUGCUAUUUUGUACACUGGUCUUUGUUUUUGCCUACACUUUGCUUUAGAUGCCUGCAUUCUUUAUUGGAUCUCACUCCUAAUUUUGUCUACAAAGUGCAGUAAAUUGGCUUACAGAAAUAUUGGAACUGGUUUCUCAGGAAGGUCUAAGUGGCAAUAAUUAUUUUUCCUCCUCGAACUGGCUGUUUGAGAUCUUCCCUUAAGAAUGAUUCUGUUCAGAGAAGUGUUUGAAAAAAAAUGGCAAUCGAACAAAUAUAUCCCAAGCUGUAUCUACUUCUUCAAUGUGAGCAAGUGCUGCACCUUGCAAUGUAUGAGGAAAGAGCUGCAUAGAGGAAAUGUGAUUUCUAG
rnacentral:lncRNA from 1 species